rnacentral:rRNA from 1 species
UACAGAGGUCUCAAGCGUUGUUCGGAUUCAUUGGGCGUAAAGAGCGUGUAGGCGGCCCGGUAAGUCCGCUGUGAAAGUCCAGGGCUCAACCCUGGGAUGCCGGUGGAUACUGUCGGGCUCGAGUCCGGAAGAGGAGUGUGGAAUUCCUGGUGUAGCGGUGAAAUGCGCAGAUAUCAGGAGGAACACCAAUGGCGAAGGCAGCACUCUGGGACGUGACUGACGCUGAGGAGCGAAAGCGUGGGGAGCGAACAGG